AACGUAGGAGACAAACGUUAUCCGGAGUUACUGGGCGUAAAGGGCGUGUAGGUGGUUUCGUAAGUCUGGCGUGAAAUUUUUCGGCUUAACCGGGAAAGGUCGUCGGAUACUGCAGAACUAGAGGACGGUAGAGGCGUGUGGAAUUCCGGGUGUAGUGGUGAAAUGCGUAGAGAUCCGGAGGAACACCAGUGGCGAAGGCGACACGCUGGGCCGUACCUGACACUGAUGCGCGACAGCAUGGGGAGCAAACGAGG
rnacentral:rRNA from 1 species